rnacentral:rRNA from 1 species
UACGAAGGGAGCUAGCGUUGUUCGGAAUCACUGGGCGUAAAGCGCACGUAGGCGGAUUUGUCAGUCAGGGGUAAAAUCCCGGGGCUCAACCUCGGAACUGCCUUUGAUACAGCAAGUCUUGAGUUCGAGAGAGGUGGGUGGAAUUCCUAGUGUAGAGGUGAAAUUCGUAGAUAUUAGGAAGAACACCGGUGGCGAAGGCGGCCCACUGGCUCGAUACUGACGCUGAGGUGCGAAAGCGUGGGGAGCAAACAGG